AGCAGCCGCGGUAAUUCCAGCUCCAAUAGCGUAUAUUAAAGUUGUUGUGGUUAAAAAGCUCGUAGUUGAACCUUGGGCCUGGCUGGCCGGUCCGCCUCACCGCGUGUACUGGUCCGGCCGGGCCUUUCCCUCUGUGGAACCCCAUGCCCUUCACUGGGUGUGGCGGGGAAACAGGACUUUUACUUUGAAAAAAUUAGAGUGCUCCAGGCAGGGCUAUGCUCGAAUACAUUAGCAUGGAAUAAUAGAAUAGGACGUGUGGUUCUAUUUUGUUGGUUUCUAGGACCGCCGUAAUGAUUAAUAGGGACAGUCGGGGGCAUCAGUAUUCAAUUGUCAGAGGUGAAAUUCUUGGAUUUAUUGGAGACUAACUACUGCGAAAGCAUUUGCCAAGGAUGUUUUCAUUAAUCAGGAACGAAAGUUAGGGGAUCGAAGACGAUCAGAUACCGUCGUAGUCUUAACCAUAAACUAUGCCGACUAGGGAUCGGACGAUGUUAUUUUUGACUCGUUCGGCACCUUACGAGGA
rnacentral:misc_RNA from 1 species